GGCCAGAUAAGAGAAUAAAAGCAGGCUGCCCGAGCCAGCAUUGACAACUCGCGGGGAUUGUUUUCCACACCGUGGAAGCUUUGUUCUUUUCGUUUUUUGCAAUAAAUCUUGUUGCUGCUCGCUUUUUGGGUCCACAUUGCUUUUAUGAGCUGUACCACUCACCGUGAAGAUCUGCAGCUUCACUUCAGAGCCUAGCGAGACCACAAGCUCACUGAGAGGAACAAACAACUCCAGACGCGCUGUCUUAAGAGCUAUAACACUCACCGCGAAGGUGUGCAGUUUCACUCCUGAGCUAGUGAGACUACGAAGCCACUGGAACGAAGAAACUCCAACCACGUUUGAACAUCAGAAGGGGCAGACUCCAGACGCUUCAUCUUAAGAGCUGUAACACUCACUGUGAAGGUCUGCAGCUUCACUCCUGAGCCAGCGAGACCACGAACCGAUCUGAACAUCAGAAGGGACAGACUCCAGAUGCCCCACCUUAAGAGCUGUAAUACUCACUGCAAGGGUCUGCAGCUUCAUUCUUGAAGUCAGACCAAGAACCCAGCAAUUCCCAACACACAGGGACCAGCUUCUUUCCUAACUCACUUAGGCUCUUCGUGCUGCUCUGGCAACUAACACCCUUGGCUGCAGGGGCUUGGACACUACCCUUAGUCACUGACAAUUGUGUGAAGGCUGCUGUCGUUAACUUCACUUGAUCACCUUAGGCUCCUGUGAAGUGGUGAGCAAUUCAAACAAAUUCCUGUCGUCAAAUCAUGAGUCCACCUGUCCCGAGUUGGAAGUCUGAACUCAUGUUCCUGGAUUCCUCCCAUGCAUCUUGGUGCUGGUGUGGGGCCUGAACUCAGCCAAUCCGCAACACCUCCAGGAGUCUUCCUCUUAGAUGCUGAGGCCACGGAGAAGGAAGCAGCACAAAGAAUGAACCCUGGAGAGGGUGCCAGAGGCAGGCGGGUUCCAGCCAUGUGGCGGCACAGCCUUACUGGGAUAGUCUAGCUGUGUCACUCAGGUACGGUUGCUCUCUGAGAAGCCGCCAAACCCAACCCUUUCACACACACCUAGGAUGAUUUGAAGAGCUACCUAAUAACCUUUCAUAAGGUUCUGAAAGCCAGCCAGAGUGGUUGUGAUCAGUAGUAAUGAAGAGCCUUCUUUCACUGACAUUCCACUUUUUACAGAUGGGGAAGCCAGGCUCCAGCAGUUACAAAACAAGGUCCCAUGACCCCUAGACCCUACUUGCAAAGCUGGGAUUGACGCAAGCUCAUCUAACUCCAAAACCCAAGCUCUUCCCACUGUGACAAGGGAGGGGACAAAUAGGAAAAGGCAGUUUGAGCUUUUCUGGGAAAGGAAAGAAAUGAAUACCUUGGCCUUUGUCCAGAUGUGGCCUGCAGAAUAAAUCCUAUGUGGCAAGGCCGCUUAACCUCUGCCGGGGCUGUGUCAUUACGGUGAUUCUUCACACUAGUUAAAUGCCACGGUGAGGAUGGCACGGGGGAAGAAGAGCUCACGGCAGGCGCCAUCUCCAGAAAGGAUCCACUGCAGGUGGUUGAAUCCUGAUUUUGUUUGGAAGGACAGCGUGCCUGGUUCCAGGACUUGAAUCAUUCGUUUGUCCAGCAUCUCCAUGCUGUGUACGCUACCCGCCUGUUAGUCAUUGACACUGUCUGCUCCUGACAUCCACCCAUCAAUAUUGUCAUUGCUCAAUGAUCCAGGAUCACCGAGAGCAGAUGAGCCUCCUGAUGCAUGGUCAGAAGAUGGAGAAAUUGCACUGCAGAGAAAUCUUUAAAAGCAAUUACCUAAUACUGCAGAUUGCUGAACUGUACCCACACCCAAGACUGAGCAUUGGAUCAAUCCAGAAUAUACAUCAGGUGUUCUGCAAUGUCUGCCUAAAACCAUGACUCUGCCUCCUCCAGCUGUUGCUACAUCUCACUAUGGGUUUCCUGUGACAUUUUGAGCAAGUAUGCCUCUGUGACUGGGGUUCUUACACUCCAGAAUGGAUGAGAAGCACCGUAAGUGGCUUUUAAAAUGAAUAUUCCCUGGCCCUUCAGUCGCUCUAUAGGUCAAGAAUCUGAAUUCUCAACCUGUCUAGAAGGUUCUGGUUUUAAUGGUCUGUGGGCUGCACAUUGAGAAACCUGUUCAGCGAGUGCAACAAAGGUUCCACAUGUGAGAAAGGAAGCAUCAGGUCUCUUGAGCCUGUUCUUUAAUCUGUAGGCUGCACCUUCUCUUUAAAUUCUGCUAAUAACACCAUGCGAGAAAACACCCGAGCUUGAAAAGCCCAUGUUCCAACAUAACUGUCCUUCACCACUCUGGAAAAUUAAUGGUUUGUUUCGAUUAUCCCUUUGUUAAACUCCAAAGUCAAAGAGCUCUGAAAGGCAUACGGUUAUUUUAAGUUUCAGGUGAUUUCUGUUGCCAAAUAUUUUAAAAAUUUAAAAUUGCUACGUGACCUCUUAGUAGUACUAUUAGAUUUCCUGACAAUAAAAAUAAGUCUUUUGGUUUCACCAUUUAUAGUUAGUACAGCUAAUAUUAAGUAUAAUUUUAAAAGCCUUUUAUUUUCUCAGAAAGAAAAAAUAAUCAAAAUCUGCUCAGUGUGGUAUUGAAUAAUUAAAAACAAAAGAACAGUAUCUUCACAUUAGUGUUUAAUAUUAAUUGCUUUUUUACCCUUGACACUGGUGCUAAUUAAAUUUUCAUUUUAUUUUCCAUGACUUGUUUAAACAGUUUUUGCAAAUUAUUGCUAAUCAGCCUAAUAAAACUGAAUCACCUAUUAAACAAUUUUGUUUUGAAUUAAAUGGCAUUAAAAUAAUUCUGGCUGCCUUGUGUUAUAAUGUGUUACAAGAAUACCAACCGCUACAGGUAAUAUGCCUUAGCUUUUACACAUGCUUUAAAUAAAUCUACGGAUGUAUUUACCUACAUGCACAAACAUGCAAAGAGGCAGUGUUGGUUAGUUGAAUGGGUUUCCGGCUGGAUUUAUUUCCCGUCUACUGUCUUCUCAAGAGGAAAUCUAAGGCAAAUCUCUUCAACAACCUGAAACUUGGUUUUCAUCAUCAGCAAAAUAAGG
rnacentral:lncRNA from 10 species